UUCGCAAUGCCCGAAAGGGUGACGAUGCGACGCCGCGUGAGCGAAGAAGGCCCUAGGGUUGUAAAGCUCUGUCGAGGGUUAUGAAAUAUAGAUGGGUUAAUACCCCAUUUAUUUGACAAAAGCCCAAAAGGAAGCCACGGCUAACUCUGUGCCAGCAGCCGCGGUAAUACAGAGGUGGCGAGCGUUGUUCGGUAUUAUUGGGCGUAAAGAGCACGUAGGCGGCCUUGCAAGUCAGUUGUGAAAGCCUUCCGCUCAACGGAAGAAUGCCAGCUGAUACUACAGGGCUUGAGUACGGGAGGGGAGAGUGGAACUUCUGGUGGAGCGGUGAAAUGCGUAGAUAUCAGAAGGAACGCCGGCGGCGAAAGCGACUCUCUGGCCCGAAACUGACGCUGAGGUGCGAAAGCUAGGGGAGCAAACGGGAUUGGAUACCCCGGUAGUCCUAGCCGUAAACGACGGGCACUAAGUAGAGGGGUUUU
rnacentral:rRNA from 1 species